AUGACUAGGGAUAACCUUAGGAAGAGACACAUCAUCAAACCCCUUGAUUGUGUUUACUGCUUGGAAAAAGAGUCUUGUUCUCACCUAUUUUUUGAAUGUAUAGUUGCUAAACAUCUCUGGGCCCACAUUGAGGAAUAUUUCUCUAGUCAGAUUGGCUCAUCCUUCGAAUCUGUCGCCAGAUUCUGGAUUGCUACCAAAAAGUGCUCAGUUUUAAAUACUGUUAGCUCAGCUGUCCUUUGGUGCCUCUGGAAAUAUAGAAAUGCUAUGAUUUUCAGUAACACCUCCUGGAUUUCCAUUCCACAGGUCUUGAGGUUGAUCAGGAACAUGGUGAGGAACUGGGUGAUUCUCUCCUCCGGAUCGGACAAGGACAAGUUGAUGAGCUUCGUGGAAACCCUAACAAGAUCCCUCCAGAAACCUUUGGCGAUCACUUGUGGCUGA
rnacentral:rRNA from 1 species